UACGAAGGGGGCUAGCGUUGCUCGGAAUCACUGGGCGUAAAGGGUGCGUAGGCGGGUCUUUUAAGUCAGGGGUGAAAUCCUGGAGCUCAACUCCAGAACUGCCUUUGAUACUGAGGAUCUUGAGUCCGGGAGAGGUGAGUGGAACUGCGAGUGUAGAGGUGAAAUUCGUAGAUAUUCGCAAGAACACCAGUGGCGAAGGCGGCUCACUGGCCCGAUACUGACGCUGAGGUGCGAAAGCGUGGGGGAGCAAACAGGG
rnacentral:rRNA from 1 species